rnacentral:rRNA from 1 species
CGAGGUAGUGCAGCUUGCAUGCCUGCAGGUCGACGAUUAGAGUUUGAUCCUGGCUCAGGAUGAACGCUGGCGGCGUGCUUAACACAUGCAAGUCGAACGAUGAUGGGAGCUUGCUCCUGGAUUAGUGGCGAACGGGUGAGUAACACGUGAGUAACCUGCCCUUAACUCUGGGAUAAGCCUGGGAAACUGGGUCUAAUACCGGAUAUGACUCCUCAUCGCAUGGUGGGGGGUGGAAAGCUUUUUGUGGUUUUGGAUGGACUCGCGGCCUAUCAGCUUGUUGGUGAGGUAAUGGCUUACCAAGGCGACGACGGGUAGCCGGCCUGAGAGGGUGACCGGCCACACUGGGACUGAGACACGGCCCAGACUCCUACGGGAGGCAGCAGUGGGGAAUAUUGCACAAUGGGCGCAAGCCUGAUGCAGCGACGCCGCGUGAGGGAUGACGGCCUUCGGGUUGUAAACCUCUUUCAGUAGGGAAGAAGCGAAAGUGACGGUACCUGCAGAAGAAGCGCCGGCUAACUACGUGCCAGCAGCCGCGGUAAUACGUAGGGCGCAAGCGUUAUCCGGAAUUAUUGGGCGUAAAGAGCUCGUAGGCGGUUUGUCGCGUCUGCCGUGAAAGUCCGGGGCUCAACUCCGGAUCUGCGGUGGGUACGGGCAGACUAGAGUGAUGUAGGGGAGACUGGAAUUCCUGGUGUAGCGGUGAAAUGCGCAGAUAUCAGGAGGAACACCGAUGGCGAAGGCAGGUCUCUGGGCAUUAACUGACGCUGAGGAGCGAAAGCAUGGGGAGCGAACAGGAUUAGAUACCCUGGUAGUCCAUGCCGUAAACGUUGGGCACUAGGUGUGGGGGACAUUCCACGUUUUCCGCGCCGUAGCUAACGCAUUAAGUGCCCCGCCUGGGGAGUACGGCCGCAAGGCUAAAACUCAAAGGAAUUGACGGAAUCUCUAGAGGAUCCCCGGGUACCGAGCUCG